UAACCUUUAUGUAAGGGAAAGGGCAGCAGCCUCUUCUAAAGAAGUUGCCGGUCAUUCAGGAGUGAGGCAGCUGGGGAAAAAAACAGUCUUAUCUCUCAGGACACACCAACUACCAAGAUAAUCUAAGAAUCAUUGUUGUUUACAGCUGAGUGCUUGUGAAAUUGACAAAUAGGUUAUGUGUGCCCUGCUUGUGUGCAUAAAAAGAGACAAGGCAGUGAAGUCAUCAGUAAAGAGUGACCCUUCCCAAGAGACCUAUUAUGAUGCAAGUCAUCAGAGCCCAGUGAUUCCCACACAUAUGAUAAAGUGUAUGACUUUUCUUAACACACUGAGAUUUUAUUAGGUCCUAACAGAAUAGUAAGAAAAGUUGAUUUCCUUUUGUUUUCCUCUUGGACCAGUCAUCAACUUGGCAAAAAUAACUGUGUCUACCAAUUGUGGCAAUAGGGCCAAUGGAAUAACUGCAAACACUAAUUAUGCCCUUUUUUGGGAGGCAGUUAUUAUACUGAUGCAGAAUAAGUGGAAGCCUGUCUGGAAAGAGCACUCAGAAAGAACAAAUUUUUAUUUUCCUUGCUGAGGACUAAAAUAAUAAUAGUAACAGUAGUUGAAAUUUUUAUAGCAUUUGUCAAUUUUCAAAUUGCUUUUUUAAAAUACUUUUACAAAGGAACUGUGACUCUCUGUUUUGAUGAUUUGAGUUAGAGUACUUAGGGGAUGCUGAGGUGCCCUCGCAAAUUUCUUUCUGACAGUCCUGGUGAAAGGUGUACCCUCUGGACCCUCCUUGGGUUAUGUCAAGUAAUUUUCAUCUUUUCCAAAAUGAAUAAUUGAAAUGGGAACAUGUGAGAAGACCCCGAUGAAACUGGGAGCAUUGAACCCCUGAAUUCUGCUGAGUGUUCUUUGCAGUAAAAGACCCCUUCUCUACAGCCUUAUGGAGAGUUCCUUACAGUUUACUGAGGAAGAGAAAACUCAGGCCUGAUUUAUAGAUGAUCCUGCCCAAUAUGUAAUACAACCCACAAGUGGACAACUACACAAGACAGUCCCUUCUGGGACACCCUGAAGGACAGCAGUGAAGGAGAAUUAACUUUUCCAACCAGAAAUCAACAUCCUGAAGGGCCAGGAUCAGAGGCCAUCAAAGGUUUAUUACCAGCCAGAUUAUUAUCAAGGAGCAGAGACAAUAAUUAUUACAUUGUUGACAAACAGAUACAUUUUUGCUUUCUGGUCCCUUCAUGUUGUACUCAGGAUUAGUAUUUUUAGGAAGAUUAGAGAAUACUUUGCAGAAUACCUUAAGUGAUAAAAAGUCACUAGGGAGUAUAUUUGCAGCUCAGCAUGUGGGACCAAAGAAGUUCAGCUCAUUGCCUGAUCUAAAAAUAAUCAUCCUUGAUGUAGAAUCCUGUUAGGUUCAGAAAUGUAACAUAUAAGCUAAAAUAUUUCUACCUAUCUCAGAAGUCCCAAUUAUACAAAUUUAUAUCUGCAGAUCUCAUAGUCUAAAAUCUGAUGCAUCUCUCUCCAGCUCUCUCCAUGUACUUUGAAUAAAGAAUAUAUAUAUUCUCUGAAUCUCUAGAUCUCCUUCUCAAAA